rfam:Felis catus isolate Cinnamon breed Abyssinian chromosome A2, whole genome shotgun sequence.
GCCUGGUUGGCUCAGUCAGUUGAGCGUCCAACUUCAGCUCAGGUCAUGAUCUCACGGUACGUGGGUUCAAGCCCUGCAUCGGGCU